rnacentral:rRNA from 1 species
AGCGAACGCUGGCGGCAUGCCUAACACAUGCAAGUCGAACGAGACCUUCGGGUCUAGUGGCGCACGGGUGCGUAACGCGUGGGAACCUGCCCUUAGGUUCGGAAUAACUCCCCGAAAGGGGUGCUAAUACCGGAUAAUGUCUUCGGACCAAAGAUUUAUCGCCUUUGGAUGGGCCCGCGUUGGAUUAGCUAGUUGGUAGGGUAAAAGCCCGCCAAGGCGACGAUCCAUAGCUGGUCUGAGAGGAUGAUCAGCCACACUGGGACUGAGACACGGCCCAGACUCCUACGGGAGGCAGCAGUGGGGAAUAUUGGACAAUGGGCGAAAGCCUGAUCCAGCAAUGCCGCGUGAGUGAUGAAGGCCUUAGGGUUGUAAAGCUCUUUUACCCGGGAUGAUAAUGACAGUACCGGGAGAAUAAGCUCCGGCUAACUCCGUG